GACGAACGCUGGCGGCGUGCCUAAUACAUGCAAGUAGAACGCUGAAGAGAGGAGCUUGCUCUUCUUGGAUGAGUUGCGAACGGGUGAGUAACGCGUAGGUAACCUGCCUUGUAGCGGGGGAUAACUAUUGGAAACGAUAGCUAAUACCGCAUAACAAUGGAUGACCCAUGUCAUUUAUUUGAAAGGGGCAAAUGCUCCACUACAAGAUGGACCUGCGUUGUAUUAGCUAGUAGGUGAGGUAACUGCUCACCUAGGCGACGAUACAUAGCCGACCUGAGAGGGGGAUCGGCCACACUGGGACUGGGACACGGCCCAGACUCCUACGGGAGGCAGCAGUAGGGAAUCUUCGGCAAUGGGGGCAACCCUGACCGAGCAACGCCGCGUGAGUGAAGAAGGUUUUCGGAUCGUAAAGCUCUGUUGUAAGUCAAGAACGAGUGUGAGAGUGGAAAGUUCACACUGUGACGGUAGCUUACCAGAAAGGGACGGCUAACUACGUG
rnacentral:rRNA from 1 species